AAAAUAACUUUCAGCAACGGAUCUCUUGGCUCUCGCAUCGAUGAAGAACGCAGCGAAAUGCGAUAAGUAAUGUGAAUUGCAGAAUUCAGUGAAUCAUCGAAUCUUUGAACGCACCUUGCACCUCUUAGCAUUCUGAGAGGUACACCUGUUUGAGUGUCA
rnacentral:rRNA from 1 species